GACCUGGUGGUGAAAUGAAUCACACCCACCUUGCCUUCGUGCACUUGUAUCUUGUAAUGGAAGUCCCUGGUUCGAAUCCGGGCCAGGUCA